UGUUUUAAGUGUGUCUUGAAGAAAUAUAUAAAAACUAUUCUCCUGCUGACAUUAAGAGGUCUAAGAAGAAAAGGCGUUCACCUAAACUGAACAAUGCAACAUUGAAGAACACAGUUGGAGUCUGCACAGUUGGAGAGCAUUGGUUUCAUUUUAGACAUCUUUGGAUUUCAUCAAUCAAACUGACUGCAAUUUUCCAUAAAAACCUCUGAAUUUGGGUCAGAAAGUGGGCAAAGCAGAUAAAGAUCAUUCUGGCUGUCUUGUGAGAUGAUAAAUAGGCAGUCUUUCAGUAUGACAAUACAGGAACAUUGAGAUUUGCAAUGCAUGCCAGUGAGUCAGUGGCAUUUCCCUAUACUUUGCCAUGCUUUACAUUGCAUUGUCAGUGCUGGCUCAUUUACUGGACUCCAGAAAGUUAAUUUCCAAGUGUCCAUCCAGACUGAAAUAUAAUAAAUUCACACCAUAGACACACUAUAAGGAAAAGCUUUUGCAAUGGCAAAAAAAAUGUCAUUUACAUUUACAUACAGAAAAACUAAAGAUAGCAGUAGCUCCAUCAAUGACAGCAAAUAGGAAUAAAAA